rnacentral:rRNA from 1 species
UACGGAGGGAGCUAGCGUUGUUCGGAAUUACUGGGCGUAAAGCGCGCGUAGGCGGCUUUGUAAGUUAGAGGUGAAAGCCCUGGGGCUCAACUCCGGAAUUGCCUUUAAGACUGCAUCGCUAGAAUCCGGGAGAGGUGAGUGGAAUUCCGAGUGUAGAGGUGAAAUUCGUAGAUAUUCGGAAGAACACCAGUGGCGAAGGCGGCUCACUGGACCGGUAUUGACGCUGAGGUGGCGAAAAGCGUGGGGAGCAAACAGG